rnacentral:rRNA from 1 species
UACGGAGGGUGCAAGCGUUAUUCGGAAUUACUGGGCGUAAAGCGCGUGUAGGCGGUCUGAUAAGUCUGAUGUGAAAGCCCCGGGCUCAACCUGGGAAGUGCAUUGGAAACUGUCAGACUUGAAUACGGGAGAGGGCAGUGGAAUUCCUAGUGUAGGAGUGAAAUCCGUAGAUAUUAGGAGGAACACCGGUGGCGAAGGCGGCUGCCUGGACCGAUAUUGACGCUGAGACGCGAAAGCGUGGGGAGCAAACAGG